GACGAACGCUGGCGGCGGGCUUAACACAUGCAAGUCGAACGGAAGGGCCCUGCUUUUGUGGGGUGCUCGAGUGGCGAACGGGUGAGUAACACGUGAGUAACCUGCCCUUGACGUUGGGAUAACUUCAGGAAACUGGGGCUAAUACCGGAUAGGAGCUCCUGCUGCAUGGUGGGGGUUGGAAAGUUUCGGCGGUUGGGGAUGGACUCGCGGCUUAUCAGCUUGUUGGUGGGGUAGUGGCUUACCAAGGCUUUGGCGGGUAGCCGGCCUGGGAGGGUGACCGGCCACCUUGGGACUGAGAUACGGCCCAGACUCCUACGGGAGGCAGCAGUGGGGAGUAUUGCACAAUGGGGGGAAGCCUGAUGCAGCAACGCCGCGUGCGGGAUGACGGCCUUCGGGUUGUAAACCGCUUUCGCCUGUGACGAAGCGUGAGUGACGGUAAUGGGUAAAGAAGCACCGGCUAACUACGUG
rnacentral:rRNA from 1 species